rnacentral:rRNA from 1 species
GAUGAACGCUGGCGGCGUGCCUAAUACAUGCAAGUCGAGCGAACAGACGAGGAGCUUGCUCCUCUGACGUUAGCGGCGGACGGGUGAGUAACACGUGGAUAACCUACCUAUAAGACUGGGAUAACUUCGGGAAACCGGAGCUAAUACCGGAUAAUAUAUUGAACCGCAUGGUUCAAUAGUGAAAGACGGUUUUGCUGUCACCUAUAGAUGGAUCCGCGCCGCAUUAGCUAGUUGGUAAGGUAACGGCUUACCAAGGCGACGAUGCGUAGCCGACCUGAGAGGGUGAUCGGCCACACUGGAACUGAGACACGGUCCAGACUCCUACGGGAGGCAGCAGUAGGGAAUCUUCCGCAAUGGGCGAAAGCUUGACGGAGCAACGCCGCGUGAGUGAUGAAGGUCUUCGGAUCGUAAAACUCUGUUAUUAGGGAAGAACAAAUGUGUAAGUAACUAUGCACGUCUUGACGGUACCUAAUCAGAAAGCCACGGCUAACUACGUG